UACGAAGGGGGCUAGCGUUGUUCGGAAUCACUGGGCGUAAAGCGCGCGUAGGCGGAUAUGUAAGUCAGGGGUGAAAUCCCGGGGCCCAACCUCGGAAUUGCCUUUGAAACUACAUAUCUAGAGACUCGGAGGGGAUAGCGGAAUUCCUAAUGUAGGGGUGAAAUCCGUAGAGAUUAGGAGGAACACCGGUGGCGAAGGCGGCUAUCUGGACGAGUACUGACGCUGAUGUGAGAAAGCGUGGGGAGCAAACAGG
rnacentral:rRNA from 1 species